rnacentral:lncRNA from 1 species
UUUUUUUGAGAGAGGGAUAGGUAGCACAUACGCUACCCGCUUUGUUUUAUUUCAUUUAGAAAUAAACUUAGCUGGAAAUGUGAAUCAACUAGGAUUCGGGUCUCAGAUACCAACCACCAAGCCCUUUGUCACUUACUCUAGGGACGGUCGGUACUACACCAUUCUCUGUUGUUUUGCAAUUCGUGCAUUUUAUUUAAUGUAUGGUAAGUUUUUUAAGCUAUUUCCAAACAUUGUGGGGAUUGUACUUCGUCAUAAGUUUUUGUUUCCAUUAUUGGCUUUAGUACUUCAGAGGAUGGAUGUGCUUUUCUGGAAAGUAUUAUUAUUUUUUUUUUUUUUUGAAAAAAAGGUAGCACGCUAUCCACUUCAUUUAUUUUGAAAAUGAACUUGGCUACAAACAGUGAGGCAACAUGGUGUCGAGAAAAAAAAUAUAGCUCAAAGAAAAAAGAAAAAGAAAAAAGAAAUAAUAACAAAAGUAAUCGACAGGUUAUUCAGCUCAACAAAAGUCCCUCCACUCUCUUACCAACUCCUUGAUAUGCCCGACUACAAAGAGAGGGUUCAGCAAAGUGGUUUUUAAAAAUCGCGUUAUUUCUGGAAAGUAAUUUUAAGAGCAUAUUAUGAUAGAAUUU